GUGCCAGCCGCCGCGGUAAUACCGGCAGCCCAAGUGAUGGCCGCUGUUAUUGGGCCUAAAGCGUUCGUAGCUGGCCGCACAAGUCCGUCGGGAAAUCCACCCGCCCAACGGGUGGCCGUCCGGUGGAAACUGCACGGCUUGGGACCGGAAGGCGCGACGGGUACGUCCAGGGUAGGAGUGAAACCCCGUAAUCCUGGACGGACCACCGAUGGCGAAAGCACGUCGCGAGAACGGAUCCGACAGUGAGGGACGAAAGCUAGGGUCUCGAACCGGAUUAGAAACCCCUGUAGUCC
rnacentral:rRNA from 1 species